rnacentral:lncRNA from 1 species
GUAUCUAUAGCUCCGUAUCAUCGAAUGGAAUGCGUAGGAAUAAUCUGUUUGAAAAUUGAAGUAAUAUAUCGAAAUAUACACCUCCGUAUCGAUAUAUACGCUUGCGUAUCGAAAGUUAUUAAUAAUAUUUUAUUUUUUUAUUAUAAAAUAUUGAGACAUUUGGUUCUCAUCCAUUAACUGCUGGAGAGAAUGUACAUGAGCAGGAGGACG